rnacentral:rRNA from 1 species
AUGGCCUCCUUACUGGUAUUUUUUGUCUUAAAAAAAAGAUUGGUACUAUCACUGGCACAGCCAGGCCAACUUUCGCCAGGGCCUAGCACAUUGCCCUAGGUCGGUAACAUGCAUCAGAUGACUUGGAACAAGCCGGCAGUAUUCCAGUGGAUCCAUCGUCUGUGCAAGGAGAUGGACACAGACAUCUGUCUCGAUCUCGGGGUGACUCAUGUCAUUGCUGUGACAUGCCUCGACAUAGCCUGCGAGGUACUACGAAAAAAUGACAAAGUAUUGGCCUCCUGUCCCACCACCUUCGCCUCGGGAUCAUUCAGCCUCGGGUACAAGGGCACCAUUAUCACACCACACGGAAAGCAGUGGAGUAAGAUGAGGCGGGUCCUCACACCAUCCAUGGAGCGAGAACUCCACCACCUGCGGAAGGAAGAGUCUGACCAUCUUGUAAGCUACAUCAACAACACUUCCACGUCUUAUCCAAGCAACUUAGUUGAUGUGUGCCAUGUCGCCCAACACUUCUGUGGUAACAUGAUAAGAAGGCUUGUGUUGGGUUAGAGAUACUUCUACAGUAAUCCCGCUACCUCAUCGACUAGCGGGCCCGGACUUGACGAGAUGAUACAUGUUUCUGCUCUUUUCACGCUCCUCAACCACCUCUUCAGCUUUUGUGUGUUAGACUACUUCCCAGUCCUCCAAGGGCUGGAUUUGGAGGGCCAUGAGAUAGUUUCCAAGAAUGUCAUGAAAACAGUCAACCAGUUGCAUGAUCUCAUUAUAGAGGAGGCGAUCCGUGAAAGGUCGACUCUUCACAGUGGUGGUGAAAAGAAAGAGGAUAGGGACUUUUUGGAUGUCCUUGUUUCUCUUGAAGCUGCAGACGGACAACCACUGCUCUCCGUAGAUGAUAUUAGGACACAUAUAGUGGAAAUGAUGUAUGCAACAGUUGAUAACCCAUCAAAUGUUGUUGAGUGGGCGCUCGCUGAGAUGGCGAACAUGCGAAAGGUCAUGCAAAAAGCAAAGAUGAACUCGACGUCGUUCUUCGCAAAGAUAGACUUGUCCAGGAGUGACAUUUCUCAGCUAAAUUAUCUGAAAGCUUGCAUCCGGGAGGCUUUUUAUAUACACUACCUUGCUUUUAACCCACCUCAUGUUGCCAUGGCUGACGCCAACGUUGCUAGCUACACUAUCCCUAAGGGUAGCCAUGUCAUCUGAAGCCGGAUGGGUCUUGGUCGGAACCCCAGGAUUUGGGAUGAACCCCUCGAGUUUCGGCCGAAUAGGCAUUUGAAUGCCACGGACGUAGUUCUCCAUGAGCCAGGAUUGCGUAUUUCAUUUAACGGUGGGAGGAGGGGUUGUCCUGGGAUUUCACUUGGUACAUCUGUCAUGAUGAUGUUGUUCGCAAGGAUGUUACACGGAUUCACCGGGACGAAGCCUGGCGCUGAAAGUACACGCCUUGAAGAAUCCAAUACCGGCGCCCUUACCCUAGUGGAACCGCCGGUUUUGCAAGCUAAACCAAGGUUGGUCGCACAUAUAUGUGAGAAAAUUAAAUAG